rnacentral:rRNA from 1 species
GGACUGAUGGAUGUCCGUCUAAGCAGUGAGGCUGAUGUGUAGGCAAUCCGCACAUCGUAAGGCUGGGCUGUGAUGGGGAGCGAAAAUUACAGUAGCGAAAGGUCAUGAUCUCAGACUGCCAAGAAAAGCCUCUAGCCAGGAGAAGGUGCCCGUACCGCAAACCGACACAGGUAGGCGAGAAGAGAAUUCUAAGGCGCGCGGAAGAACUCUCGUUAAGGAACUCGGCAAAAUGACCCCGUAACUUCGGGAGAAGGGGUGCCUCGGUAGGGUGAAUAGCCCGAGGGGGCCGCAGUGAAAAGGCCCAAGCGACUGUUUAGCAAAAACACAGGUCUGUGCGAAGCCGCAAGGCGAAGUAUACGGGCUGACGCCUGCCCGGUGCUGGAAGGUUAAGGGGAGUGGUAAGCCUUCGGGCGAAGCUAUGAACCGAAGCCCCAGUAAACGGCGGCCGUAACUAUAACGGUCCUAAGGUAGCGAAAUUCCUUGUCAGGUAAAUUCUGACCCGCACGAAUGGCGUAACGACUUGGGCGCUGUCUCAACGAGAGAUCCGGUGAAAUUUUAAUACCUGUGAAGAUGCAGGUUACCCGCGACAAGACGGAAAGACCCCAUGGAGCUUUACUGCAGCUUGAUAUUGAAUUUGGGUACGAUCUGUACAGGAUAGGUGGGAGCCGUUGAAUCUUGAGCGCCAGCUUGAGAGGAGGCAUCCUUGGGAUACCACCCUGAUCGUAUCUAGGUUCUAACUUGGUACCGUGAUCCGGUACGAGGACAGUGUCAGGUGGGCAGUUUGACUGGGGCGGUCGCCUCCUAAAGAGUAACGGAGGCGCCCCAAGGUUCCCUCAGAAUGGUUGGAAAUCAUUCGAAGAGUGCAAAGGCAGAAGGGAGCUUGACUGCGAGACCUACAAGUCGAGCAGGGACGAAAGUCGGGCUUAGUGAUCCGGUGGUACCGCAUGGAAGGGCCAUCGCUCAACGGAUAAAAGCUACCCUGGGGAUAACAGGCUUAUCUCCCCCAAGAGUCCACAUCGACGGGGAGGUUUGGCACCUCGAUGUCGGCUCAUCGCAUCCUGGGGCUGAAGUAGGUCCCAAGGGUUGGGCUGUUCGCCCAUUAAAGCGGUACGCGAGCUGGGUUCAGAACGUCGUGAGACAGUUCGGUCCCUAUCUGUCGUGGGCGUAGGAAAUUUGAGAGGAGCUGUCCUUAGUACGAGAGGACCGGGAUGGACGUACCGCUGGUGUACCAGUUGUUCCGCCAGGAGCACCGCUGGGUAGCUAUGUACGGAAGGGAUAAGCGCUGAAAGCAUCUAAGCGUGAAGCCCCCCUCAAGAUGAGAUUUCCCAGUAAGUAAGACCCCUUGAAGACGACGAGGUAGAUAGGUUGGGGGUGGAAGUGCAGUAAUGCAUGGAGCUGACCAAUACUAAUCGGUCGAGGGCUUAUCCU